rnacentral:rRNA from 1 species
GUGGGGAAUCUUCCGCAAUGGACGAAAGUCUGACGGAGCGACGCCGCGUGAGUGAAGAAGGCCUUCGGGUCGUAAAGCUCUGUCAUCAGGGACGAACGGCCGGUGGAGUGGAAAGCCACCGGAUUGACGGUACCUGAGAAGGAAGCCACGGCUAACUACGUGCCAGCAGCCGCGGUAAUACGUAGGUGGCAAGCGUUGUCCGGAAUUAUUGGGCGUAAAGCGCGCGCAGGUGGGAUCUUACGUCCAUUUUUAAAGUUCGGAGCUCAACUCCGUGAUGGGAUGGAAACUGGGAUUCUUGAGUACCGGAGAGGAAAGCGGAAUUCCCCGUGUAGCGGUGAAAUGCGUAGAUAUGGGGAGGAACACCAGUGGCGAAGGCGGCUUUCUGGACGGUGUCUGACACUGAGGCGCGAAAGCCAGGGGAGCGAACGGGAUUAGAUACCCUGGUAGUCC